rnacentral:rRNA from 1 species
GACGAACGCUGGCGGCGUGCUUAACACAUGCAAGUCGAGCGGUAAGGCCCCUUCGGGGGUACACGAGCGGCGGACGGGUGAGUAACGCGUAGGAAUCUGCCCGGUCGUGGGGGACAACUCGGGGAAACUCGAGCUAAUACCGCAUACGACCAGCACCUUGAAUUGCUUUUACGGACCAGAAGAGCCGAGAGUAAAGAGUGAUUCAAGGUGCUGGUGAAAGCGGGGGACCCAGCACCAUAGCCUUUUGCGGGAGUUUGGAACCGCGCAAGGGUUGGAGAGGCUAAGGUGCUGGGCCUCGCGCGAUCGGAUGAGCCUGCGUUGGAUUAGCUGGUUGGUGGGGUAAAGGCCUACCAAGGCGACGAUCCAUAGCUGGUCUGAGAGGACGACCAGCCACACUGGGACUGAGACACGGCCCAGA